UACGAACUGUGCAAACGUUAUUCGGAAUCACUGGGCUUAAAGGGUGCGUAGGCGGCCGUUUAGGUAGGGUGUGAAAUCCUGCAGCUUAACUGCAGAACUGCGCUCUAAACCGGACGGCUGGAGUGAGAUAGGGGUGUGUGGAACUUCCGGUGGAGCGGUGAAAUGUGUUGAUAUCGGAAGGAACGCCGGUGGCGAAAGCGACACACUGGGUCUCAACUGACGCUGAGGCACGAAAGCCAGGGGAGCGAACGGG
rnacentral:rRNA from 1 species